UUCCUACGGGACGCAGCAGUGGGGAAUAUUGCACAAUGGGGGGAACCCUGAUGCAGCGACGCCGCGUGAAGGAAGAAGUAUUUCGGUAUGUAAACUUCUAUCAGCAGGGAAGAAAAUGACGGUACCUGACUAAGAAGCCCCGGCUAACUACGUGCCAGCAGCCGCGGUAAUACGUAGGGGGCAAGCGUUAUCCGGAUUUACUGGGUGUAAAGGGAGCGUAGGCGGCGAUGCAAGUCAGAAGUGAAAGCCCGGGGCUCAACUCCGGGACUGCUUUUGAAACUGUGCUGCUAGAUUGCAGGAGAGGU
rnacentral:rRNA from 1 species